UUGGUGUGGAGAGUACAAACAUGGCGACGCCGGUUGUACAUGUGAAAGAAUCAGAGGAUGAUGUCUCCAAUAGCCUUUGUGAACUUGUGAUCAGCAGAGCUUCAGCAGCAAUCAAAACUAAGGGUUUAUUUGUUAUUGGGGUAUCUGGUGGAAGUGCUGCAAAAUUUCUUUGCAAUGGUUUGCCCUCUGCUGUUACUGAAUGGGAUAAAUGGCGUGUAUUUUUCUGUGAUGAGCGCUAUGUGCCUUUUGAUGAUCCAGAGUGCACCUACACAGUCUACAAAAAUGGACUGCUGUCAAAAGUGCCUGCUCUUGCUGACUAUGUGUACCCCAUCAACCCAGCUAUCCCUUUAGAGGAAGCUGCAGAUGAAUACCUGGGGAAAAUAAGAACUGUUUUUCCAGGAGAUGGCAUUCCCCGUUUCGAUGUCCUAGUGUUAGGCAUGGGUCCAGAUGGUCAUACCUGCUCACUGUUUCCUGACCAUCCAUUACUAAAGGAAGAUGAACAGCUGGUGGCACCAAUAGCAGAUUCCCCCAAACCUCCACCAGGCCGCAUUACUUUGACAUUUCCUGUCAUCAAUAAUGCAUCGUGUGCAGUGUUUGCAUCUUGCGGUGCUGGUAAAGCAGACAUUGUUCAGAAAGUUCUUGAAGGCAGUGGAGACAACCCAUUGCCAGCGGCCAUGGUGCGUCCAACUCAGGGUGAAGUUGUUUGGUUUCUGGAUGUUGCUGCAGCUUCCAAAUUGAAGUCUCAACAUAAACUGUAACUAGUCGAAGGCACAGAGCAGCACUACUGGACCAAUAGAAGAUGUUAGAAAAAGGAAGUCCGACUGUGACAGAUCGAACCACCCCGGGUCCUGCUAGGCUGGAGAUUAAACACAACAGGAUAUUCCUGGCACCGCUCAAUCGUACUUGAGGCCAAGCAAAUCGACUAACAAGGUACCGGAACGUGAAAUGAAUUCAGCGUACGGGGUGGCCGGGACUGGCCGAGAGUGGACUACUCCUUCACUGGAGGAAUCUAGUCAGAACAAAAGAAGGAAUACAAAAAAAAUAAAAUAAAAAAAAAAAAAUAAAAAAUAAAAAUAAAAAUAUAAAAAAAA
rnacentral:misc_RNA from 1 species